AGAGUUUGAUCCUGGCUCAGGACGAACGCUGGCGGCGUGCUUAACACAUGCAAGUCGAACGGUAAGGCCCCUUCGGGGGUACACGAGUGGCGAACGGGUGAGUAACACGUGGGUAAUCUGCCCUGCACUUCGGGAUAAGCCUGGGAAACCGGGUCUAAUACCGGAUAUGAACUCUGCCGCAUGGUGGGGGUUGGAAAGUUUUUCGGUGCAGGAUGAGCCCGCGGCCUAUCAGCUUGUUGGUGGGGUAAUGGCCUACCAAGGCGACGACGGGUAGCCGGCCUGAGAGGGUGAUCGGCCACACUGGGACUGAGACACGGCCCAGACUCCUACGGGAGGCAGCAGUGGGGAAUAUUGCACAAUGGGCGAAAGCCUGAUGCAGCGACGCCGCGUGGGGGAUGACGGUCUUCGGAUUGUAAACCCCUUUCAGUAGGGACGAAGCGCAAGUGACGGUACCUGCAGAAGAAGCACCGGCUAACUACGUGCCAGCAGCCGCGGUAAUACGUAGGGUGCGAGCGUUGUCCGGAAUUACUGGGCGUAAAGAGCUCGUAGGCGGUUUGUCACGUCGUCUGUGAAAUCCCUCGGCUUAACCGGGGGCGUGCAGGCGAUACGGGCAGACUUGAGUACUACAGGGGAGACUGGAAUUCCUGGUGUAGCGGUGAAAUGCGCAGAUAUCAGGAGGAACACCGGUGGCGAAGGCGGGUCUCUGGGUAGUAACUGACGCUGAGGAGCGAAAGCAUGGGUAGCGAACAGGAUUAGAUACCCUGGUAGUCCAUGCCGUAAACGGUGGGCGCUAGGUGUGGGGUCUUCCGGACUCCGUGCCGUAGCUAACGCAUUAAGCGCCCCGCCUGGGGAGUACGGCCGCAAGGCUAAAACUCAAAUGAAUUGACGG
rnacentral:rRNA from 1 species